rnacentral:rRNA from 1 species
AGCAUGUGGUUUAAUUCGAAAGCAAACGCGAAGAACCUUACCAGGCCUUGACAUCCAAUGAGCUUUCCAGAGAUGGAUUGGUGCCUUCGGGAACAUUGAGACAGGUGCUGCAUGGCUGUCGUCAGCUCGUGUCGUGAGAUGUUGGGUUAAAGUCCCGUAACGAGCGCAACCCUUGUCCUUAGUUACCAGCACGUAAUGGUGGGCACUCUAAGGAGACUGCCGGUGACAAACCGGAGGAAGGUGGGGAUGACGUCAAGUCAUCAUUGCCCUUACGGCCUGGGCUACACACGUGCUACAAUGGUCGGUACAGAGGGUUGCCAAGCCGCGAGGUGGAGCUAAUCUCACAAAACCGAUCGUAGUCCGGAUCGCAGUCUGCAACUCGACUGCGUGAAGUCGGAAUCGCUAGUAAUCGCGAAUCAGAAUGUCGCGGUGAAUACGUUCCCGGGCCUUGUACACACCGCCCGUCACACCAUGGGAGUGGGUUGCACCAGAAGUAGCUAGUCUAACUC